AGAGUUUGAUCCUGGCUCAGGAUGAACGCUAGCGGCAGGCCUAACACAUGCAAGUCGAGGGGUAACAGGGAGUGCUUGCACUUUGCUGACGACCGGCGCACGGGUGCGUAACGCGUAUACAAUCUACCUUGUACUAGGGAAUAGCCCAGAGAAAUUUGGAUUAAUGCUCUAUGGUCUAUUUUUGUGGCAUCACAGAGAUAGUAAAGGUUACGGUACAAGAUGAGUAUGCGUCCUAUUAGUUAGUUGGUGUGGUAACGGCACACCAAGGCUACGAUAGGUAGGGGCCCUGAGAGGGGGACCCCCCACACUGGUACUGAGACACGGACCAGACUCCUACGGGAGGCAGCAGUGAGGAAUAUUGGACAAUGGAGGCAACUCUGAACCAGCCAUGCCGCGUGCAGGAAGACUGCCCUAUGGGUUGUAAACUGCUUUUAUACAGGAAGAAACGCUCCCUCGAGUAGGGAGUUUGACGGUACUGUAAGAAUAAGGAUCGGCUAACUCCGUGCCAGCAGCCGCGGUAAUACGGAGGAUCCAAGCGUUAUCCGGAAUCAUUGGGUUUAAAGGGUCCGUAGGCGGGCAAUUAAGUCAGGGGUGAAAGUUUGCGGCUCAACCGUAAAAUUGCCUUUGAAACUGGUUGUCUUGAAUUACUGUGAAGUGGUUAGAAUAUGUAGUGUAGCGGUGAAAUGCAUAGAUAUUACAUAGAAUACCAAUUGCGAAGGCAGAUCACUAACAGUAUAUUGACGCUGAUGGACGAAAGCGUGGGGAGCGAACAGGAUUAGAUACCCUGGUAGUCCACGCCGUAAACGAUGGUCACUAGUUGUUGGGGUCUUGUACCUCAGUGAUUAAGAGAAAUUGAUAAGUGACCCACCUGGGGAGUACGAUCGCAAGAUUGAAACUCAAAGGAAUUGACGGG
rnacentral:rRNA from 1 species